rnacentral:rRNA from 1 species
UCCGUUGGUGAACCAGCGGAGGGAUCAUUACCGAGUUAUUCAACUCAUCAACCCUGUGAACAUACCUAAACGUUGCUUCGGCGGGAAUAGACGGCCCCGUGAAACGGGCCGCCCCCGCCAGAGGACCCUUAACUCUGUUUCUAUAAUGUUUCUUCUGAGUAAAACAAGCAAAUAAAUUAAAACUUUCAACAACGGAUCUCUUGGCUCUGGCAUCGAUGAAGAACGCAGCGAAAUGCGAUAAGUAAUGUGAAUUGCAGAAUUCAGUGAAUCAUCGAAUCUUUGAACGCACAUUGCGCCCGCCAGUAUUCUGGCGGGCAUGCCUGUUCGAGCGUCAUUACAACCCUCAGGCCCCCGGGCCUGGCGUUGGGGAUCGGCGGAGCCUCUCUGUGGGCACACGCCGUCCCCCAAAUACAGUGGCGGUCCCGCCGCAGCUUCCAUCGCGUAGUAGCUAACACCUCGCGACUGGAGAGCGGCGCGGCCACGCCGUAAAACACCCAACUCUUCUGAAGUUGACCUCGAAUCAGGUAGGAAUACCCGCUGAACUUAAGCAUAUCAAUA